rnacentral:rRNA from 1 species
AUACAGAGGGUGCAAGCGUUAAUCGGAUUUACUGGGCGUAAAGCGCGCGUAGGUGGCUAAUUAAGUCAAAUGUGAAAUCCCCGAGCUUAACUUGGGAAUUGCAUUCGAUACUGGUUAGCUAGAGUAUGGGAGAGGAUGGUAGAAUUCCAGGUGUAGCGGUGAAAUGCGUAGAGAUCUGGAGGAAUACCGAUGGCGAAGGCAGCCAUUUGGCCUAAACCUGACCCUGUGGUGCGAAAGCAUGGGGAGCAAACGGGAUUAGAUCCCCUGGUAGUCCAUGCCGUAAACGAUGUCUACUAGCCGUUGGGGCCCUUGAGGUUUUAGUGGCGCAGCUAACGCGAUAAGUAGACCGCCUGGGGAGUACGGUCGCAAGACUAAAACUCAAAUGAAUUGACGGGG